AGCGUGGAGCUUAACUCCAUCAUGGCAGUGGAAACUGAAAGGCUUGAGUAUGGUAGGGGCAGAGGGAAUUCCCGGUGUAGCGGUGAAAUGCGUAGAUAUCGGGAAGAACACCAGUGGCGAAGGCGCUCUGCUGGGCCAUUACUGACGCUCAUGGACGAAAGCCAGGGGAGCGAAAGGGAUUAGAUACCCCUGUAGUCCUGGCCGUAAACGAUGAACACUAGGUGUCGGGGGAAUCGACCCCUUCGGUGUCGUAGCUAACGCGUUAAGUGUUCCGCCUGGGGAGUACGCACGCAAGUGUGAAACUCAAAGGAAUUGACGGGGGCCCGCACAAGCGGUGGAGUAUGUGGUUUAAUUCGAUGCAACGCGAAGAACCUUACCAGGGUUUGACAUCCUGCGAACCUCUUAGAAAUUUGAGGGUGCCUUCGGGAAUGCAGUGACAGGUGGUGCAUGGCUGUCGUCAGCUCGUGUCGUGAGAUGUUGGGUUAAGUCCCGCAACGAGCGCAACCCACGUUUUUAGUUGCCAGCAUUUAGUUGGGCACUCUAGAAAGACCGCCGGUGAUAAACCGGAGGAAGGUGUGGAUGACGUCAAGUCAUCAUGCCCCUUACACCCUGGGCUACACACGUACUACAAUGCUACGGACAAAGGGCAGCAAACUCGCGAGAGCUAGCAAAUCCCAUAAACCGUGGCUCAGUUCAGAUCGUAGGCUGCAACUCGCCUACGUGAAGUAGGAAUCGCUAGUAAUCGCAGGUCAGCAUACUGCGGUGAAUACGUUCCCGGGCCUUGUACACACCGCCCGUCACACCAUGGAAGUUGGCCAUGCCCGAAGUCGUUACUCCAACCCUUGU
rnacentral:rRNA from 1 species